UAUUCCUAGAGUAAGUAUUAAGGAACUAGAAGCGGUUUAAAAAGCGAGCACUUAAAGGGACUCACAUGAUGGUAGAAAGUGGUGUGGCAGUGGCGAACGUUCUCAAUCGCGCUGGGCAACGCAGCUGUUCGAUGUCCCAGGUAAGUUGAACCAGGUGAAGUCGACGUACGCCUUUAUAUUACCUUGGAGCCCGGACAGUUUGGUCUUGACGCCACCUCCAAUAUCUGUGCUCUCUCGUCUCGUUCCUUUCUUUUCCUCGUGUCAAGUGCUUCGAUCUUAAGUCCCCACCUCUCUCUUUCUCACUCUCUGCUAACUUCAGUUAGGGACAACCGAGCGUAGAUAGUGACAGUCGGAUUACUGGAAGGCCGGUUUGGCAAGCUUUCCGAUACGAAGUUAAGUAGACCUGGAGAUGGAAAUCUGGCGUUUAUUACUAUGGUAAUUAGCCUUAAUUAAAAAAAAAUAUUAAAUAAUAUAAAGAGAGAAAUAUUAGAAAAUUAGAAAUGGUAAAAUUUUUAGUUCCUUAGAAUUUCCAAACUUUUUCUUUUAAAUCAAGUGUAAUGUCAGUAUUUUUUAAUAUUUACAUACGCCUGUUAUCACAGUAAUUAUAUUAUUAUAAAAAUUAUUGGACUGAAAUAUACAAUGGAUGACAUUUGAUACAAAAAAGUGCCUAGUUAUUCGACUAGUCUUGGUUUCAAACUGGUGUACAUAAUCAAUAAAUAAAUUUCUUCUUCGGUCGACCAUGUUCCUGGGCUUGCAAGCGACAUUUCAAUUUAGAGGUAACGUUUAACUCUCUGCGUUCAAAUUUCCAUCUCCAAUUUUUAAAAAAUGAAGGUGUCACGAGAAGACCGCGGUAUGCGAGAUCCAUAAGUCCUCCCCAACAA